rnacentral:rRNA from 1 species
GACAAACGCUGGCGGCAUGCCUAACACAUGCAAGUCGAACGGGGAUUGCUUCGGUAAUCCUAGUGGCGAACGGGUGAGUAACGCGUAGGCAACCUGCCCUUUAGAUGGGGACAGCAUCCCGAAAGGGGUGCUGAUACCGAAUGUGACAGCUUUCUCGCAUGAGAAAGCUGUGAAAGAUGGCCUCUACAUGUAAGCUAUCGCUAAAGGAUGGGCCUGCGUCUGAUUAGCUAGUUGGUGGGGUAACGGCCUACCAAGGCGACGAUCAGUAGCCGGUGGGGGAGGAUGAACGGCCACAUUGGGACUGGGACACGGCCCAGACUCCUACGGGAGGCAGCAGUGGGGAAUCUUCCGCAAUGGGCGAAAGCCUGACGGAGCAAUGCCGCGUGAGUGAUGAGGGGAUUCGUCCCGUAAAACUCUGUUGUCUAUGACGAAUGUGCUUAGUGUAAAUAAUGCGAAGUAAUGACGGUAGUAGACGAGGAAGCCACGGCUAACUACGUGCCAGCCGCCGCUGUAA